rnacentral:rRNA from 1 species
GACGAACCGUGCGAACGUUGUUCGGAAUCACUGGGCUUAAAGGGCGCGUAGGCGGGCUGCCAAGUCUGGGGUGAAAUCCCACGGCUCAACCGUGGAACUGCCUCGGAUACUGGCGGUCUCGAGGGUGGUAGGGGUAUGCGGAACUAUCGGUGGAGCGGUGAAAUGCGUUGAUAUCGAUAGGAACUCCGGUGGCGAAGGCGGCAUACUGGACCACUUCUGACGCUGAGGCGCGAAAGCCAGGGGAGCAAACGGG